UGCUCAACGCGUCGUGAAUAAAACUCAUAAUUCGUAUUUCUGAAUUGAUAAUUUUGUUCAUUACUCAUUCACUGAUUUUGCCAUUUCUCUAAAUUUUGUGGUUAUGAUGGUUUGUUACAUCGAACUUGUCACGAUUAGUGAUCAGGAGUAAUGAUGAUGAGGGAUUCGUUGGCAAGCAACAGCAAGGCGCUUUGAGAUGUCGACAAGCCGGCUCCAUCGGUUGGGAAAAUGAUACUUCGCGAGAGUUCGGUCGUCUUCGUUGGGUUUUAUAUUCCCUCGUUAUAACAUUGGUUUUUACUCGAGGGGCUCGUGGGCAUUCGGCCUGUGAAACGAUUUAACGUGAUUCGAGGAGAACGCCAGUACACAGAACAGUGGCGUGGCUUGGGCUUUGUGGUUAAUACGACUGAUAUUCUUCAUAUUCUCCUAAUUAACAUUCCAUAAUGUGAAUGAUUGCAUUUGUUUACUAUCGACAUUUAUUCUCGAUAGAAAGAGUAUCAGAAGAAAUUAUUCCCGGGAAUAGUUUCGUCAUUGGCAUCAUUAGCUGAACGAAAUAUUGGAGAUUUGAGGUAUUGGCAGUGAGAAAUUUUCGGUGACGCAAUGGACGCCACCGCAACCUGUUGCUUCCCCUUCGGAGAGCGUCUCAAGCCAUUCGGAGCGUCUUCAACUGGUCCUGCGUGAAAAAAAAUAUAUCCUCCAACGUACUCAUCCUCUGCAGUAGAAAAUACUUCAUUCUGCUCUACAACGUGUUUCAGUGAGAGACAAAGAGAGCUCAUCAUCUGUUGAGGCUUCUUUCGAUCAAUUAACUGCAAUUGAUGAAUUGCCGCCUAAUCUCUCUUGUUCCCGCCUGAAUAAUUCUCGUUGUGAUCUUCACUCUCG